rnacentral:rRNA from 1 species
UACAGAGGUCCCAAGCGUUGUUCGGAUUCAUUGGGCGUAAAGGGUGCGUAGGUGGCGCGCUAAGUCGGGUGUGAAAUUUCGGAGCUUAACUCCGAAACUGCAUUCGAUACUGGUGUGCUUGAGGACUGGAGAGGAGACUGGAAUUCAUGGUGUAGCAGUGAAAUGCGUAGAGAUCAUGAGGAAGACCAGUGGCGAAGGCGGGUCUCUGGGCAACUACUGACGCUGAGGAGCGAAAGCGUGGGGAGCGAACAGG